rnacentral:lncRNA from 1 species
GGAUGUUGUGUAAGGGCAUUUUGAAACCCAAUUAAAUAAUUCCUAACAUGUUUUAAUUCUUUUGGCAGGUGUGAAAAUAUGUUCGAGAACAUGGUCUCGGGUCACUUACAAGUGAUUAUGGGUGUGGUUUGCGUGCAGUGAAAAGGUGGACAACUCUCCAGCCAGCCAAAGUGAAGCGUCAAAAUGACCGGAAAUCCUCCACCAAGGCCUAAAGUGCCAAAGGAACACUUUUAAUUCAUCAGCAGAGGGACGCUGAAGGCUGUUCUGGAUCAUUGGACAGACAGAAGCCUGAAAGACAGAGAAGGCUCUGUCCUCCACCUAGCCUUCAGAACAAACAUCUGCUCUGGCCUGAUUGUGUCUCGUCAACGGGGACCAACAUCAUCCGACGUGUUUUAAAGUGGAUCCAAGACAGCGCUGUCCCCAGCAGACAUUGCAUUUACUCAUUUAUCUGCUUGUUGUUCUCAGACAGAGCAGAGGAAAUGACAAAGCACCAACUCAACCGCUUUAAUAAUGGAAGAUUGAAUUUCCUUUUUUUUUUCAGAUCCUAAGUUAAUGCUAAAGUUUCUCAAAUUUGGCCCUGGAGUACUGGUGCCUUUGCAGCCUCUAAAAACACGUUUUAAUCCAUGAUGUAGUGCCAUUAAAUGAAACUUUUAUGAGAGUUCUG